AGGCACCGAUUCCCAGCAGAAGAUAUAGUAACUCAAGGCAGUGGAACUUUGGCGAUGGAGGCACCGAUUCCCAGCAGAAGAUAUAGUAACUCAAGGCAGUGGAACUUUGGCGAUGGAGGGCACAGAUGGAACGUGAUAACCUUGUCGGAAGCCUUAACAAGGGUUCCCUUAUGGGUGUCCUUGAAGUACCAGUAAGACACGCACAAAAGUGCAGAGAGUGGAUGAGCACACAAACAGGAGGAAGAGAUGAGAGCUAAUCCUCUGGGGAGUUUUCGUGGUCCGCAUCAGCUUGUCGAGUGUGUGUGUGUGUAUGUGUGUGUGUGUGGAUUGUGUACCCACGGUGUUUGUGUACUCCUUAGUGUGUGUCCACUGCUGUAUGCAAAUGUGCGGAAUGUGUAAGUGGUGUCGGGGGGUAGGUGGUGGGUGUGUUAUCCCGCACGCUUGUGUAUUUUGUGAUCCACAGAGGCAUGCAAUCCUAGGCAGACUUCGGCUGCUGUAAUCCGAGGUUUACAUGCUGUAAUGCUACUGAAAACCCUGCAGGCCUCGCUGGCAGGGAGGAAGGGCAAGGAGGGGAAGGAGGAGGAACACCAUGGAGGAGACAUGAGAGAGGGGCUACAAGGGACCACAACCCUGGGAAAAUUCGACUAAAAGAAAUCCCA